rnacentral:rRNA from 1 species
ACGGAAGGCAGCAGUGGGGAAUAUUGCACAAUGGGGGAAACCCUGAUGUAGCGACGCCGCGUGAGUGAAGAAGUAUUUCGGUAUGUAAAGCUCUAUCAGCAAGGAAGAAAAUGACGGUACUUGACUAAGAAGCCCCGGCUAACUACGUGCCAGCAGCCGCGGUAAUACGUAGGGGGCAAGCGUUAUCCGGAUUUACUGGGUGUAAAGGGAGCGUAGACGGUGAGGCAAGUCUGAAGUGAAAUGCGGAGGCUCAACCUCCGAACUGCUUUGGAAACUGUCUAACUUGAGUGCAGGAGAGGUAAGUGGAAUUCCUAGUGUAGCGGUGAAAUGCGUAGAUAUUAGGAGGAACACCAGUGGCGAAGGCGGCUUACUGGACUGUAACUGACGUUGAGGCUCGAAAGCGUGGGGAGCAAACAGGAUUAGAUACCCUGGUA